rnacentral:tRNA from 1 species
AGAUACAUAAGCUAAAAUAAGCUAAGGAGCUCAUAACUCUUUGAUAGGAUUACCUUGUCUCUA